AGUAACACGUGAGUGACCUGCCUUUUAGACUGGAACAACUUACCGAAAGGUGAGCUAAUGCCGGAUGAGUUAUAUAAGUGCAUGUUUAUAUAGGAAAAGUUGGGGAGACCUGACGCUGAAAGAUGGACUCGCGUCCCAUUAGCUAGUUGGUAGGGUAAUGGCCUACCAAGGCGACGAUGGGUAGCCGGCCUGAGAGGGUGGCCGGCCACACUGGGACUGAGACAUGGCCCAGACUCCUACGGAAGGCAGCAG
rnacentral:rRNA from 1 species